CCCACGGCUCACGCCGUGGGCUGCAUCCUGACGUCCCUCUCGGUACU
rnacentral:sRNA from 1 species